GCUCACUUAGGCAGCACAUAAUGGAAUUGGAAUGAUACAGAGAAGAUUAGCAUGGCCCCUGCACAUGGAUGACACGCAAAUUCACGAAGCGUUCCAUAUUUUA